GGUGAACGCUGGCGGUAUGCUUAACACAUGCAAGUCGAACGGUCACUUCGGUGAUAGUGGCGGACGGGUGAGUAACGCGUGAGAAUCUGUCUUCAGGUCGGGGACAACAGUUAGAAAUGACUGCUAAUACCGGAUGUGCCUUUGGGUGAAAGAUUUAUUGCCUGAAAAAGAGCUCGCGUCAGAUUAGCUAGUAGGUGGUGUAAGAGACUACCUAGGCUCCGAUCUGUAGCUGGUCUGAGAGGACGAUCAGCCACACUGGAACUGAGACACGGUCCAGACUCCUACGGGAGGCAGCAGUGGGGAAUUUUCCGCAAUGGGCGAAAGCCUGACGGAGCAAUACCGCGUGAGGGACGAAGGCUUUUGGGUCGUAAACCUCUUUUCUCAAGGAAGAUGAUGACGGUACUUGAGGAAUAAGCAUCGGCUAACUCUGUG
rnacentral:rRNA from 1 species